rnacentral:lncRNA from 1 species
GAUGAAACACCGCCAUCUACCGGACAUGCGUAUAAACGACACCUACAGGAUCCUUACUAGCUUGUUUACACCACGAGAGAUUCAACUGGCAAAAUUCCCUUUACGACGUACUAAUGUAGAUUGAAUUGGUCGUAGAAUGGAGGUUCCUGCCGUAAACCACAGCUAUACACAUCCACAGCCAUGGGCCGGACAGAGUCCCAGGACCCCAACCAUACCUCCACCCAGCUGUCCAUUUCCUUCAUAUCACUAUCCAAACCUGAACCCAGAUCAGCAGAGUGUGACCCCCAUGACCCAAACGACAGGAACCGCAGCAGGCCAUCGGCCUCAGUCACUGCAAAGCUACCAAGGAGUGUUCAAGCCUGUUCCUGAGAUUACAAAUAAGACGAAUCAAGGAAUGCCACAGAGAAGCUACUCAUUACCAACGAGUCCAGUGUCAAAUUCUAAGACAGAGUCUCGAUACGGCCUGGAUCCUCAGCUUCUGCCCAGUGUGGUAAAUGAGCCGGCCCUCUUAUUCUGUAAUGUUUCCAUCAAGACAGCUCAGGUUUGAUUGCACUGUUGUGCAUGGCUGUGUUAUUUUGUCUCAGUGUCUAAAUGUCUCUUAAAUGUUCAGGUCCAGGUGAUUAAAGAGGACAGGAUCCAGUGGGAGGGGAAAGUGUUUGUUUCAGAAUGCAAAUCUUCAGUUCCCCUUCUUCCUGGGCAGAGUUCUACAGGAAAUGUCACUUUUCAACCCUGAGUCGGAUGGAUCCGGCUCACAAGAGCUUUCUGUUUCUGCAGGGCUGAAGAUUCUUCAGGCAAGAGCCUUAAUAUGAGUCUUAAACAUGCACAUGCCCUUGGAUAGUGCUACUA